GCAAGCCUGAUCCAGCCAUGCCGCGUGUGUGAAGAAGGCCUUCGGGUUGUAAAGCACUUUCAGUUGGGAGGAAGGGUUGUGUGUUAAUAGUACACAGCCUUGACGUUACCAACAGAAGAAGCACCGGCUAACUCUGUGCCAGCAGCCGCGGUAAUACAGAGGGUGCAAGCGUUAAUCGGAAUUACUGGGCGUAAAGCGCACGUAGGCGGUUUUUUAAGUCAGAUGUGAAAGCCCCGGGCUCAACCUGGGAAUUGCAUUUGAAACUGGAAAACUAGAGUGUGUGAGAGGGGGGUAGAAUUCCAAGUGUAGCGGUGAAAUGCGUAGAGAUUUGGAGGAAUACNCAGUNGNGNCGAAGGCGGCCCCCUGGCACAACACUGACGCUCAGGUGCGAAAGCGUGGGGAGCAAACGGGAUUAGAUACCCUGGUAGUCCACGCCGUAAACGAUGUCUACUAGCUGUUCGUGACCUUGUGUCGUGAGUAGCGCAGCUAACGCACUAAGUAGACCGCCUGGGNGANGUACGNGUCGCAAGAUUAAAACUCAAAUGAAUUGACGGGGGCCCGCACAAGCGGUGGAGCAUGUGGUUUAAUUCAACGCAACGCGAAGAACCUUACCUACUCUUGACAUCCAGAGAAGGCUGCAGAGAUGCGGUUGUGCCUUCGGGAACUCUGAGACAGGUGCUGCAUGGCUGUCGUCAGCUCGUGUUGUGAAAUGUUGGGUUAAGUCCCGCAACGAGCGCAACCCUUAUCCUUAGUUGUCAGCACGUAAUGGUGGGAACUCUAGGGAGACUGCCGGUGAUAAACCGGAGGAAGGUGGGGACGACGUCAAGUCAUCAUGGCCCUUACGAGUAGGGCUACACACGUGCUACAAUGGUAUGUACAGAGGGAGGCAAGCUGGCGACAGUGAGCGGAUCUCUUAAAGCAUAUCGUAGUCCGGAUCGCAGUCUGCAACUCGACUGCGUGAAGUCGGAAUCGCUAGUAAUCGCAAAUCAGAAUGUUGCGGUGAAUACGUUC
rnacentral:rRNA from 1 species